rnacentral:lncRNA from 1 species
GUGUGUGGGGGGGUGUUUCUCCCCGGGGUGCCUGCGUGUUUGUAUGUGGGGGGCGCCAGGCAGGAGACACAGUGGGAGAAGGGCCUCAGAGCUGGGAUUCGCCUCGCGCACUCGUACACUGCGUAUGUUGUGCAUGAGAGGUUGGAAGUCGAGCCAGAAAUAAUUCCCUCUUGAGACAGAGCAGGGCAGUUCCUACUGGCUCGGUCAGGGGGUGGCUCCCCCUUCAUCUGUCCUGGAGGAGACGCUGUUGACAGAUUGCUGGGGUCCUUUCAGUUUAGACCUCCGUGUCGAGAAUGUGUAGGGGAUGCUGGCGAGGGGAGGAGAAGGCUUGCUCGAAUGUGAGGAUGGGCACACUGCCUCGAAAUAUGGCUGAGAAACCCAGUUAUGGAGAGUGGAGCUGAGGAGGCAUAAUUGGCCCUAUUAUGAUACAACUGUUGGUUGGUUCCAUUCCUACUCUUGGAAAAGUGGAUCGAGGAAGACAUCAUGGAAAGAGAAAGUGGUGGACCAAGAGGGAAAGUGAUGAACCAAGAGGCUAAUUGGUCAUAUGAUCAUAUCGCCACUAAGUGACAGAACUGAUAUUCUCAUCACGAAAAUUUGACUUCACAGUCCAUGGAUUUGUUGUGCAAUGUGACUGAAUUUACCAGCCAAUCUCUUGAGAAGUAAGACAACUUGUGCCCAAAGAGGCCCACCUGACAAGGCCAUCUGUCUCAAGCCUGGUUUACUGUCCUGGGUGGUCCCAGGCUCUUGAAACGGAACAUCUUUCUCUUGAGAAAUACACAUGAAGCAAAUAGAACAGAAGGUGGCUCUUACACACCGGCCUCGCCACUCCAUCCCAAAUCUUUCAUGUUUUUUUAAAUGGGGGUGCUCUCAUGCGUCAAUUCCGUAUGUGCCUGUUCAGGAAUGCCGGCAAAAAAAAAUGUCAAGAGGGAAGAAAGAGACACUGGAGGGGCCCAGAGAGCAUGUGCAGAUCCAAACAUGAGUAAAACAACUAUGAUCAUCUUAGUGACUGUGAUAUCUCUUCUCACAACUCAGUAGUCAAUCUUCAAGCUCAUGGGGGGUUAGAAAGACAGAAAUGCCGCUCCUUGUUCCAUGUAAAAUAGUUGCUAUUCCAUAAUACCAUCUUUUUCUGUGUUUACAAUAAAAAAUAUCUUUGGGACACUGAUAUGUAUCUUAAUUUGUAUGGGAAUUGCCUUUUCACUAGUGCAUUCAUAGGAAUCAAGAACAAAAAGAGGAUUUAUU